rnacentral:rRNA from 2 species
GGGUUGUGAGGUUAAGCGACUAAGCGUACACGGUGGAUGCCCUGGCAGUCAGAGGCGAUGAAGGGCGUGCUAAUCUGCGAUAAGCGCCGGUAAGGUGAUAUGAACCGUUAUAACCGGCGAUACCCGAAUGGGGAAACCCAGUGUGAUUCGUCACACUAUCAUUAACUGAAUCCAUAGGUUAAUGAGGCGAACCGGGGGAACUGAAACAUCUAAGUACCCCGAGGAAAAGAAAUCAACCGAGAUUCCCCCAGUAGCGGCGAGCGAACGGGGAGGAGCCCAGAGCCUGAAUCAGCAUGUGUGUUAGUGGAAGCGUCUGGAAAGGCGCGCGAUACAGGGUGACAGCCCCGUACACAAAAGCGCAUGUGCUGUGAGCUCGAUGAGUAGGGCGGGACACGUGGUAUCCUGUCUGAAUAUGGGGGGACCAUCCUCCAAGGCUAAAUACUCCUGACUGACCGAUAGUGAACCAGUACCGUGAGGGAAAGGCGAAAAGAACCCCGGCGAGGGGAGUGAAAAAGAACCUGAAACCGUGUACGUACAAGCAGUGGGAGCACAGGUUUACCUGUGUGACUGCGUACCUUUUGUAUAAUGGGUCAGCGACUUAUAUUCUGUAGCAAGGUUAACCGUAUAGGGGAGCCGAAGGGAAACCGAGUCUUAAC